rnacentral:rRNA from 1 species
AAGAAGACUUCGUGGCCAGAGGUGGUCGGGCUGACUAUCAAGGAGGCCACGGAGAUCAUCCUCAAGGACAAGCCUGACGCCGACAUCGUGGUCGUGCCGGUUGGUUCAGCGGUGACCCAAGACUUCAGGCUGAACCGCGUUCGCAUCUUCGUCGGCACCGUCGCCGAGACCCCCCAGGUUGGCUAG